rnacentral:rRNA from 1 species
UACGGAGGGUGCAAGCGUUAAUCGGAAUUACUGGGCGUAAAGCGCACGCAGGUGGCUGAGUCAGUCGAUUGUGAAAGCCCUGGGCUUAACCUGGGAAUUGCAGUCGAUACUACUCGGCUCGAGUAUGGGAGAGGGCAGUGGAAUUCCCGGUGUAGCGGUGAAAUGCGUAGAUAUCGGGAGGAACAUCAGUGGCGAAGGCGGCUGCCUGGCCCAAUACUGACACUCAGGUGCGACAGCGUGGGGAGCGAACAGG